GGGUUGUGAGGUUAAGCGACUAAGCGUACACGGUGGAUGCCCUGGCAGUCAGAGGCGAUGAAGGGCGUGCUAAUCUGCGAUAAGCGCCGGUAAGGUGAUAUGAACCGUUAUAACCGGCGAUACCCGAAUGGGGAAACCCAGUGUGAUUCGUCACACUAUCAUUAACUGAAUCCAUAGGUUAAUGAGGCGAACCGGGGGAACUGAAACAUCUAAGUACCCCGAGGAAAAGAAAUCAACCGAGAUUCCCCCAGUAGCGGCGAGCGAACGGGGAGGAGCCCAGAGCCUGAAUCAGCAUGUGUGUUAGUGGAAGCGUCUGGAAAGGCGCGCGAUACAGGGUGACAGCCCCGUACACAAAAGCGCAUGUGCUGUGAGCUCGAUGAGUAGGGCGGGACACGUGGUAUCCUGUCUGAAUAUGGGGGGACCAUCCUCCAAGGCUAAAUACUCCUGACUGACCGAUAGUGAACCAGUACCGUGAGGGAAAGGCGAAAAGAACCCCGGCGAGGGGAGUGAAAAAGAACCUGAAACCGUGUACGUACAAGCAGUGGGAGCCCCACCACUAAGCCAGUGGUGAACUCCACAUACGCAUCCUUUGCUGAGGAUACGGUUAACGGAGCGAAAGCGACGUUCAACCUCAAAACAAGCAGAGGGGGCUUAGUGGUGGGGUGACUGCGUACCUUUUGUAUAAUGGGUCAGCGACUUAUAUUCUGUAGCAAGGUUAACCGAAUAGGGGAGCCGGAGGGAAACCGAGUCUUAAUUGGGCGUUAAGUUGCAGGGUAUAGACCCGAAACCCGGUGAUCUAGCCAUGGGCAGGUUGAAGGUUGGGUAACACUAACUGGAGGACCGAACCGACUAAUGUUGAAAAAUUAGCGGAUGACCUGUGGCUGGGGGUGAAAGGCCAAUCAAACCGGGAGAUAGCUGGUUCUCCCCGAAAGCUAUUUAGGUAGCGCCUCGUGAAUUCAUCUCCGGGGGUAGAGCACUGUUUCGGCUAGGGGGCCAUCCCGGCUUACCAACCCGAUGCAAACUGCGAAUACCGGAGAAUGUUAUCACGGGAGACACACGGCGGGUGCUAACGUCCGUCGUGAAGAGGGAAACAACCCAGACCGCCAGCUAAGGUCCCAAAGUCAUGGUUAAGUGGGAAACGAUGUGGGAAGGCCCAGACAGCCAGGAUGUUGGCUUAGAAGCAGCCAUCAUUUAAAGAAAGCGUAAUAGCUCACUGGUCGAGUCGGCCUGCGCGGAAGAUGUAACGGGGCUAAACCAUGCACCGAAGCUGCGGCAGCGAACGUAUCACUUAAAGCGAUUCAGCGGGUUACGAUUGACGGAGCGAAGCGACGUCAAAGCGUAUACAAAGUCGAGUCGGUUUAAGGAUACGUUCGUUGGGUAGGGGAGCGUUCUGUAAGCCUGCGAAGGUGGCCUGUGAGGGUUGCUGGAGGUAUCAGAAGUGCGAAUGCUGACAUAAGUAACGAUAAAGCGGGUGAAAAGCCCGCUCGCCGGAAGACCAAGGGUUCCUGUCCAACGUUAAUCGGGGCAGGGUGAGUCGACCCCUAAGGCGAGGCCGAAAGGCGUAGUCGAUGGGAAACGGGUUAAUAUUCCCGUACUUGGUGUUACUGCGAAGGGGGGACGGAGAAGGCUAUGUUGGCCGGGCGACGGUUGUCCCGGUUUAAGCGUGUAGGUGUGUGUUCCAGGUAAAUCCGGUUCACUUUAACACUGAGGCGUGACGACGAGGCACUACGGUGCUGAAGCAACAAAUGCCCUGCUUCCAGGAAAAGCCUCUAAGCAUCAGGUAACAUCAAAUCGUACCCCAAACCGACACAGGUGGUCAGGUAGAGAAUACCAAGGCGCUUGAGAGAACUCGGGUGAAGGAACUAGGCAAAAUGGUGCCGUAACUUCGGGAGAAGGCACGCUGACACGUAGGUGAAGUGAUUUACUCACGGAGCUGAAGUCAGUCGAAGAUACCAGCUGGCUGCAACUGUUUAUUAAAAACACAGCACUGUGCAAACACGAAAGUGGACGUAUACGGUGUGACGCCUGCCCGGUGCCGGAAGGUUAAUUGAUGGGGUCAGCGCAAGCGAAGCUCCUGAUCGAAGCCCCGGUAAACGGCGGCCGUAACUAUAACGGUCCUAAGGUAGCGAAAUUCCUUGUCGGGUAAGUUCCGACCUGCACGAAUGGCGUAAUGAUGGCCAGGCUGUCUCCACCCGAGACUCAGUGAAAUUGAACUCGCUGUGAAGAUGCAGUGUACCCGCGGCAAGACGGAAAGACCCCGUGAACCUUUACUAUAGCUUGACACUGAACAUUGAGCCUUGAUGUGUAGGAUAGGUGGGAGGCUUUGAAGCGUGGACGCCAGUCUGCGUGGAGCCGACCUUGAAAUACCACCCUUUAAUGUUUGAUGUUCUAACGUGGACCCGUAAUCCGGGUUGCGGACAGUGUCUGGUGGGUAGUUUGACUGGGGCGGUCUCCUCCUAAAGAGUAACGGAGGAGCACGAAGGUUGGCUAAUCCUGGUCGGACAUCAGGAGGUUAGUGCAAUGGCAUAAGCCAGCUUGACUGCGAGCGUGACGGCGCGAGCAGGUGCGAAAGCAGGUCAUAGUGAUCCGGUGGUUCUGAAUGGAAGGGCCAUCGCUCAACGGAUAAAAGGUACUCCGGGGAUAACAGGCUGAUACCGCCCAAGAGUUCAUAUCGACGGCGGUGUUUGGCACCUCGAUGUCGGCUCAUCACAUCCUGGGGCUGAAGUAGGUCCCAAGGGUAUGGCUGUUCGCCGAUUUAAAGUGGUACGCGAGCUGGGUUUAGAACGUCGUGAGACAGUUCGGUCCCUAUCUGCCGUGGGCGCUGGAGAACUGAGGGGGGCUGCUCCUAGUACGGAGAGGACCGGAGUGGACGCAUCACUGGUGUUCGGGUUGUCAUGCCAAUGGCACUGCCCGGUAGCUAAAUGCGGAAGAGAUAAGUGCUGAAAGCAUCUAAGCACGAAACUUGCCCCGAGAUGAGUUCUCCCUGAGACUUUAGGUCUCCUGAAGGAACGUUGAAGACGACGACGUUGAUAGGCCGGGUGUGUAAGCGCAGCGAUGCGUUGAGCUAACCGGUACUAAUGAACCGUGAGGCUUAACCUUACAACGCCGAAGCUGUU
rnacentral:rRNA from 1 species